CUCUAAGCUUGUGUUUUGUUCAAACCGUGCUUAUGUAGGACCCCCGAUAUGGGGACCCCUACUCUAGUCCAGGGACAGGGUGCACCCACGAACACACAAGAAUCC
rnacentral:pre_miRNA from 7 species